rnacentral:lncRNA from 1 species
AGAGGGAUGCAACACGAGGACUUCCCGGGAGGUCACCCAUUGUAGUACUACUCUCGCCCAAGCACGCUUAACUGCGGAGUUUUGAUGGGAUCCAGUAUAUUAGUGCUCGUAUGAUCGCAUCCGUUAGUAUAUGCAAUGCAAUCGUAUAUAUUCUUUUUUGAAGACUUGAUGAACCAUUCGUCAUGGGUCCCACCCGCUAUGUAGGGAUACGCCAUCUAGUCUUAACGAGCUUUGAUGCAUGAAAAAAUUCUAGAACAAUGCUUUAACAAGUAAUUUUGGGUCUGUAAUAUAACCCAAAUCACAAAAAUGCCCAAAAAAGUACUUAAAGGUCAAAAUUUGGGGUUGACAAAAAGUCAAUAAAAUAGUUCCAUUGUCCUGCUUCUUUCGUUGGAAGGCUCUCUUUGGGCUUUCUGAAAGGUAGCACAUGCCAAGUUUGACCUCACGGUAUAAAAGUUAUAGAGUCAUAAAGUUUUAACCAAAAAAAAAAUAAAUUAAAAAAAAGAGGGAUGCAACACGAGGACUUCCCGGGAGGUCACCCAUCCUAGAACAACUCUCCCCCAAGCACGCUUAACUAAAGGUCAAAAUUUGGAGUCGACAAAAAACAAUGGAUAUGUUCCAUUGUCCUGCUUCUUUCAUUUGAGGGCUCUCUUUGGGCUUUACGAAAAGGUAUCAAAUGCCAAGUUUGGCCUCACUGUAUAAAAGUUAUAGAGUCAUACAGUUUUAAUCAAAGAAAAAAAUUUAAAAAAAAAAAAGAAUGAAACACGAGGACUUCCCGGGAGGUCACCCAUACUAGUACUACUCUCACCCAAGCACGCUUAACUGCGGUGUUCUGAUGGGAUCCGGUGUAUUAGUGCUUUUAUGAUCGCAUCCGUUAGUAUAUGCAAUGCAAUCGUAUAUAUUCUUUUUUAAAGACUUGAUGAACCAUUCGCCAUGGGUUCCACCCGCUAUGUAGGGAUACCCCAUCUAUUUUUAACGAGCUUUGAUGCAUGAAAAAAUUCUAAAACAAUGCUUGAACAAGUAAUUUUGGGUCCGUAAUAUAGCCCAAAUCACAAAAAUGCUCGAAAGAGUACUUAAAGGUCAAAAUUUGGGAUCGACAAAAAGUCAAUGGAAAAGUUCCUUUGUCCUGCUUCUUUCGUCGGAGGGCUCUCUUUGGGCUUUACGAAAAGGUAUCACAUGCCAAGUUUGGCCUCACGGUAUAAAAGUUAUAGAAUCAUAAAGUUUUAACCAAAAAAAACAAAUUAAAAAAAAAAGGGAUGCAACACGAGGACUUCCCGGGAGGUCACCCGUCCUAGUACUACUCUCCCCCAAGCACGCUUAACUAAAGGUCAAAAUUUGGAGUUGACAAAAAAUCAAUGGAUAUGUUCCAUUGUCCUGCUUCUUUCAUCGGAUGGCUCUCUUUGGGCUUUUCGAAAAGGUAUCACAUGCCAAGUUUGGCCUCACUGUAUAAAAGUUAUAGAGUCAUAAAGUUUUAAUCAAAGAAAAAAAAAUUUAAAAAAAGAGGGAUGCAACACGAGGACUUCCCAGGAGGUCACCCAUCGUAGUACUACUCUCGCCCACGCACGCUUAACUGCGGAGUUCUGAUGGGAUACGGUGUAUUAGUGCUGGUAUGAUCGCAUCUGUUAGUAUAUGCAAUGCAAUUGUAUAUAUUGUUUUUUGAAGACUUGAUGAACCAUUCGCCGUGGGUCCCACCCGCUAUGUAGGGAUACCCCAUCUAGUCUUAACGAGCUUUGAUGCGUCAAAAAAAUCUAAAACAAUGCUUGAACAAGUAAUUUUGGGUCCGUACUAUAGCCCAAAUCACAAUAAUGCCCGAAAAAGUACUUAAAUGUCAAAAUUUGGGAUCGACAAAAAGUCAAUGGAAAGGUUCCAUUGUCCUGCUUCUUUCGUCGGAGGGCUCUCUUUGGGCUUUCCAAAAAGGUAUCACAUGCUAAGGUUGGCCUCACGGUAUAAAAGUUAUAGAGUCAUAAAGUUUUACCAAAAAAAAAACAAAUUAAAAAAAAGAGGGAUGCAACACGAGGACUUCCCGGGAGGUCACCCAUCCUGGAACAACUCUCGCUCAAGCACGCUUAACUAAAGGUCAAAAUUUGGAGUCGACAAAAAAUCAAUGGAUAUGUUCCAUUGUCCGACUUCUUUCAUCAGAGGACUCACUUUGGGCUUUACGAAAAGGUAUCACAUGCCAAGUUUGGCCUCACUGUAUAAAUGUUAUAGAGUCAUAAAGUUUUAAUCAAAAAAAACAAUUAAAAAAAAAGAGGGAUGAAACAUGAGGACUUCCCGCGAGGUCACCCAUCCUAGUACUACUCUCACCCAAGCACGCUUAACUGCGGUGUUCUGAUGGGAUUCGGUGUAUUAGUGCUUGUAUGAUCGUAUCCGUUAGUAUAUGCAAUGCAAUCGUAUAUAUUCUUUUUUGAAGACUUGAUGAACCAUUCGCCAUGGGUUCCACCCGCUAUGUAGGGAUACCCCAUCUAUUCUUAACGAGCUUUGAUGCAUGAAAAAAUUCUAAAACAAUGCUUGAACAAGUAAUUUUGGGUCCGUAAUAUAGCCCAAAUCACAAAAAUGCUCGAAAGAGUACUUAAAGGUCAAAAUUUGGGGUCGACAAAAAGUCAAUGGAAAAGUUUCUUUAUCCUGCUUCUUUCGUCGGAGGGUUCUCUUUGGGCUUUACGAAAAAGUAUCACAUGCCAAGUUUGGCCUCACGGUAUAAAAGUUAUAGAGUCAUAAAGUUUUAACCAAAAAAAACAAAUUAAAAAAAAAGAGGGAUGCAACACGAGGACUUCCCGGGAGGUAACCCAUCCUAGUACUACUCUCUCCCAAGCACGCGUAACUAAAGGUCAAAAUUUAGAGUUGACAAAAUAUCAAUGGAUAUGUUCCAUUGUCCUGCUUCUUUCAUCGGAUGGCUCUCUUUGGGCUUUUCGAAAAGGUAUCAUAUGCCAAGUUUGGCCUCACUGUAUAAAAGUUAUAGAGUCAUAAAGUUUUAACCAAAGAAAAAAAUUAAAAAAAAAGAGGGAUGCAACACGAGGACUUUCCAGGAGGUCACCCAUCGUAGUACUACUCUCGCCCAAGCACGCUUAACUGCGGAGUUCUGAUGGGAUCCGGUGUAUUAGUGCUGGUAUGAUCGCAUCCGUUAGUAUAUGCAAUGCAAUCGUAUAUAUUCUUUUUUGAAGACUUGAUGAACCAUUCGCCGUGGGUCCCACACGCUAUGUAGGGAUACCCCAUCUAGUCUUAACGAGCUUUGAUGCGUGAAAAAAUUCUAAAACAAUGCUUGAACAAGUAAUUUUGGGUCCGUAAUAUAGCCCAAAUCACAAAAAUGCCCAAAAAAGUACUUAAAGGUCAAAAUUUGGGGUCGACAAAAAGUCAAUGGAAUUGUUCCAUUGUCCUGCUUCUUUCGUUAGAGGGCUCUAUUUGGGCUUUCCAAAAAGGUAUCACAUGCUAAGGUUUGCCUCACGGUAUGAAAGUUAUAGUCAUAAAGUUUUAACCAAAAAAAAACAAAUUAAAAAAAAGAGGGAUGCAACACGAGGACUUCCCGGGAGGUCACCCAUCCUAGAACAACUCUCCCCCAAACACGCUUAACUAAAGGUCAAAAUUUGGAGUCGACAAAAAAUCAAUGGAUAUGUUCCAUUGUCCUGCUUCUUUCAUUUGAGGGCUCUCUUUGGGCUUUACGAAAAGGUAUCAAAUGCCAAGUUUGGCCUCACUGUAUAAAAGUUAUAGAGUCAUAAAUUUUAAUCAAAGAAAAAAAUUAAAAAAAAAAAGAGGGAUGAAACACGAGGACUUCCCGGGAGGUCAACCAUCCUAGUACUACUCUCACCCAAGCACGCUUAACUGCGGUGUUCUGAUGGGAUCCGGUGUAUUAGUGCUUGUAUGAUCGCAUCCGUUAGUAUAUGCAAUGCAAUCGUAUAUAUUCUUUUUUGAAGACUUGAUGAACCAUUCGCCAUGGGUUCCAUCCGCUAUGUAGGGAUACCCCAUCUAUUCUUAACGAGAUUUGAUGCAUGAAAAAAUUCUAAAACAAUGCUUAAACAAGUAAUUUUAGGUCCGUAAUAUUGCCCAAAUCACAAAAAUGCUCGAAAGAGUACUUAAAGGUCAAAAUUUGGGGUCGACAAAAAGUCAAUGGAAAAGUUCCUUUGUCCUGCUUCUUUCGUCGGAGGGCUCUCUUUGGGCUUUACGAAAAGGUAUCACAUGCCAAGUUUUGCCUCACAGUAUAAAAGUUAUUGAGUCAUAAAGUUUUAACCAAAAAAAACAAAUUAAAAAAAAGAGGGAUGCAACACGAGGACUUCCCGGGAGGUCAUCAUCCCAGUACUACUCUCCCCCAAGCACGCUUAACUAAAGGUCAAAAUUUGGAGUUGACAAAAAAUCAAUGGAUAUGUUCCAUUGUCCUGCUUCUUUCAUCGGAGGGCUCUCUUUGGGCUUUUCGAAAAGGUAUCACAUGUCAAGUUUGGCCUCACUAUAUAAAAGUUCUAGAGUCAUAAAGUUUUAACCAAAGAAAAAAAUUAAAAAAAAAGAGGGAUGCAACACGAGGACUUCCCAGGAGGUCACCCAUCGUAGUUCUACUCUCGUCCAAGCACGCUUAACUGCGGAGUUCUGAUGGGAUCCGGUGUAUUAGUGCUUGUAUGAUCGCAUCCGUUAGUAUAUGCAAUGCAAUCGUAUAUAUUCUUUUUUGAAGACUUGAUGAACCAUUCGCCAUGGGUUCCACCCGCUAUGUAGGGAUACCACAUCUAUUCUUAACGAGCUUUGAUGCAUGAAAAAAAUCUAAAACAAUGCUUGAACGUGUAAUUUUGGGUCCGUAAUAUAGCCCAAAUCACAAAAAUGCUCGAAAGAGUACUUAAAGGUCAAAACUUAGGGUCGACAAAAAGUCAAUGGAAAAGUUCCUUUGUCCUGCUUCUUUCGUCGGAGGGCUCUAUUUGGGCUUUCCAAAAAGGUAUCACAUGCUAAGGUUGGCCUCACGGUAUAAAAGUUAUAGAGUCAUAAAGUUUUAACCAAAAAAAGACAAAUUAAAAAAAAGAGGGAUGCAACACGAGAAUUUCCCGGGAGGUCACCCAUCCUAGAACAACUCUCGCCCAAGCGCGGUUAACUAAAGGUCAAAAUUUGGAGUCGACAAAAAAUCAAUGGAUAUGUUCCAUUGUCCUGCUUCUUUCAUUUGAGGGCUCUCUUUGGGCUUUACGAAAAGGUAUCACAUGUCAAGUUUGGCCUCACUAUAUAAAAGUUAUAGAGUCAUAAAGUUUUAAUCAAAGAAAAAAAUAAAAAAAAAAUAGAGGGAUGAAACACGAGGACUUCCUGUGAGGUCACCCAUCCUAGAACUACUCUCACCCAAGCACGCUUAACUGCGAUGUCCUGAUGGGAUCCGGUGUAUUAGUGCUUGUAUGAUCGCAUCCGUUAGUAUAUGCAAUGCAAUCGUAUACCUUUUUUUUUGAAGACUUGAUAAACCAUUCGCCAUGGGUUCCACCCGCUAUGUAGGGAUACCCCAUCUAUUCUUAACGAGCUUUGAUGCAUGAAAAAAUUCUAAAACAAUGCUUGAACAAGUAAUUUUGGGUCCGUAAUAUAGCCCAAAUCACAAAAAUGCCCGAAAAAGUGCUUAAAGGUCAAAAUUUGGGGUCGACAAAAAGUCAAUGGAAAUGUUCCAUUGUUCUGCUUCUUUCGUCGGAGGGCUAUCUUUGGGCUUUCCAAAAAGGUAUCACAUCCCAAGUUUGGCCUCACGGUUUAAAAGUUAUAGAGUCAUAAAGUUUUAACAAAAAAAAACAAAUUAAAAAAAAAGAGGGAUGCAACACGAGGACUUCCCGGGAGGUCACCCAUCCUAGAACAACUCUCGCCCAAGCGCGGUUAACUAAAGGUCAAAAUUUGGAGUCGACAAAAAAUCAAUGGAUAUGUUCCAUUGUCCUGCUUCUUUCAUUUGAGGGCUCUCUUUGGGCUUUACGAAAAGGUAUCACAUGUCAAGUUUGGCCUCACUGUAUAAAAGUUAUAGAGACAUAAAGUUUUAAUCAAAGAAAAAAAUAAAAAAAAAAUAGAGGGAUGAAACACGAGGACUUCCUGUGAGGUCACCCAUCCUAGAACUACUCUCACCCAAGCACGCUUAACUGCGAUGUCCUGAUGGGAUCCGGUGUAUUAGUGCUUGUAUGAUCGCAUCCGUUAGUAUAUGCAAUGCAAUCGUAUACCUUUUUUUUUGAAGACUUGAUAAACCAUUCGCCAUGGGUUCCACCCGCUAUGUAGGGAUACCCCAUCUAUUGUUAACGAGCUUUGAUGCAUGAAAAAAUUCUAAAACAAUGCUUGAACAAGUAAUUUUGGGUCCGUAAUAUAGCCCAAAUCACAAAAAUGCCCGAAAAAGUGCUUAAAGGUCAAAAUUUGGGGUCGACAAAAAGUCAAUGGAAAUGUUCCAUUGUUCUGCUUCUUUCGUCGGAGGGCUAUCUUUGGGCUUUCCAAAAAGGUAUCACAUCCCAAGUUUGGCCUCACGGUUUAAAAGUUAUAGAGUCAUAAAGUUUUAACAAAAAAAAACAAAUUAAAAAAAAAGAGGGAUGCAACACGAGGACUUCCCGGGAGGUCACCCAUCCUAGAACAACUCUCGCCCAAGCGCGGUUAACUAAAGGUCAAAAUUUGGAGUCGACAAAAAAUCAAUGGAUAUGUUCCAUUGUCCUGCUUCUUUCAUUUGAGGGCUCUCUUUGGGCUUUACGAAAAGGUAUCACAUGUCAAGUUUGGCCUCACUGUAUAAAAGUUAUAGAGACAUAAAGUUUUAAUCAAAGAAAAAAAUAAAAAAAAAAUAGAGGGAUGAAACACGAGGACUUCCUGUGAGGUCACCCAUCCUAGAACUACUCUCACCCAAGCACGCUUAACUGCGAUGUCCUGAUGGGAUCCGGUGUAUUAGUGCUUGUAUGAUCGCAUCCGUUAGUAUAUGCAAUGCAAUCGUAUACCUUUUUUUUUGAAGACUUGAUAAACCAUUCGCCAUGGGUUCCACCCGCUAUGUAGGGAUACCCCAUCUAUUGUUAACGAGCUUUGAUGCAUGAAAAAAUUCUAAAACAAUGCUUGAACAAGUAAUUUUGGGUCCGUAAUAUAGCCCAAAUCACAAAAAUGCCCGAAAAAGUGCUUAAAGGUCAAAAUUUGGGGUCGACAAAAAGUCAAUGGAAAUGUUCCAUUGUCCUGCUUCUUUCGUCGGAGGGCUAUCUUUGGGCUUUCCAAAAAGGUAUCACAUCCCAAGUUUGGCCUCACGGUUUAAAAGUUAUAGAGUUAUAAAGUUUUAACCAAAAAAAAACAAAUUAAAAAAAAAGGAUGCAACACGAGGACUUCCCGGGAGGUCACCCAUCCUAGAACAACUCUCGCCCAAGCACGCUUAACUAAAGGUCAAAAUUUGGAGUCGACAAAAAAUCAAUGGAUAAGUUCCAUUGUCCUGCUUCUUUCAUCGGAGGGCUCUCUUUGGGCUUUCCGAAAAGGUAUCACAUGCCAAGUUUGGCCUCACUCUAUAAGAGUUAUAGAGUCAUAAACUUUUAACCAAAGAAAAAAAAGGGAUGAAACACGAGGACUUCCCGGGAAGUCACCCAUCCUAGUAUUACUCUCACCCAAGCACGGUUAAUUGCGGAGUUCUGAUGGGAUCCGGUGUAUUAGUGCUGGUAUGAUCGCAUCCGUUAGUAUAUGCAAUGCAAUCGUAUAUAUUCUUUUUUGAAAACUUGAUGAACCGUUCACCAUAGGUUCCACCCGCUGUGUAGGGAUACCUCAUCUAGUCUUAACGAGCUUUGAUGCAUGGAAAAAUUCUAAAACAAUGCUUGAACAAGUAAUUUUGGGUCCGUAAUAUAGCCCAAAUCACAAAAAUACCCGAAGAAGUACUUAAAGGUCAAAAUUUGGGGUCGACAAAAAGUCAAUGGAAAAGUUCCUUUGUCCUGCUUCUUUCGUCGGAGGGCUCUCUUUGGGCUUUCCGAAAAGGUAUCACAUGCCAAGUUUGGCCUCACGGUAUAAAAGUUAUAGAGUCAUAAAGUUUUAACCAAAAAAAACAAAUUAAAAAAAAAGAGGGAUGCAACACGAGGACUUCCCGGGAGGUCUCCCAUCCUAAUACUACUCUCGCCCAAGCCCGCUUAACUGCGGAGUUCUGAUGGGAUCCGGUGUAUUAGUGCUGGUAUGAUCGCAUCCGUUAGUAUAUGCAAUGCAAUCUUAUAUAUUCUUUUUUGAAGACUUGAUGAACCAUUCUUCGUGGGUCCCACCCGCUGUGUAGGGAUACCCCAUCUAGUCUUAACGAGCUUUGCUGCAUUGAAAAAAUUCUAAAACAAUGCUUGAACAAGUAAUCUUGGGUCCGUAAUAUAUCCCAAAUCACAAAAAUACCCGAAAAAGUACUUAAAGGUCAAAAUUUGGGGUCGACAAAAAGUCAAUGGAAAAGUUCCUUUGUCCUGCUUCUUUCGUCGGAGGGCUCUCUUUGGGCUUUCCGAAAAGGUAUCACAUGUCAAGUUUGGCCUCACGGUAUAAAAGUUAUAGAGUCAUAAAGUUUUAACCAAAAAAAACAAAUUAAAAACAAAGAGGGAUACAACACGAGGACUUCUCGGGAGGUCACCCAUCCUAGUACUACUCUCGCCCAAGCACGCUUAACUAAAGGUCAAAAUUUGGAGUCGACAAAAAGUCAAUGGAUAUGUUCCAUUGUCCUGCUACUUUCAUCGUAGGGCUCUCUUUGAGCUUUUCGAAAAGGUAUCACAUGCCAAGUUUGGCCUGACGGUAUAAAAGUUAUAGAGUCAUAAAGUUUUAACCAAUAAAAAAAAUUAAAAAAAAAGAGUGAUGCAACACAAAGACUUCCCGGGAGGUCACCCAUCCUAGUACUACUCUCGCCCAAGCCCGCUUAACUGCGGAGUUCUGAUGGGAUCCGGUGUAUUAGUGCUGCUAUGAUCUUAUCUGUUAGUAUAUGCAAUGCAAUCGUAUAUAUUCUUUUUGGAAGAAUUGAUGAACCAUUCGCCGUGGGUCCCACCCGCUGUGUAGGGAUACCCCAUCUAGUCUUAACGAGCUUUGAUGCAUGAUAAAAUUCUAAAACAAUGCUUGAACAAGUAAUUUUGGAUCCGUAAUAUAGCCCAAAUCACAAAAAUACCCGAAAAAGUACUUAAAGGUCAAAAUUUGGGGUCGACAAAAAGUCAAUGAAAAAGUUCCUUUGUCCUGCUUCUUUCGUCGGAGGGCUCUCUUUGGGCUAUUCGAAAAGGUAUCACAUGCCAAGUUUGGCCUCACGGUAUAAAAGUUAUAGAGUCCUAAAGUUUUAACCAAAAAAAACAAAUUAAAAAAAAAGAGGGAUGCAACACGAGGACUUCCCGGGAGGUCACCCAUCCUAGUACUACUCUCGCCCAAGCACGCUUAACUAAAUGUCAAAAUUUGGAGUCGACAAAAAAUCAAUUGAUAUGUUCCAUUGUCCUGCUACUUUCAUCGGAGGGCUCUCUUUGGGCUUUCCGAAAAUGUAUCACAUGCCAAGUUUGGCCUCACUGUAUAAAAGUUAUACAGUCAUAAAGUUUUAACCAAAGAAAAAUAUUUAAAAAAAACGGAUGCAACACGAGGACUUCCCUGAGGUCACCAAUCCUAGUACUACUCUCGCCCAAGCACGCUUAACUACGGAGUUUUGAUGGGAUCUGGUGUAUUAGUGCUGGUAUAAUCUCAUCCGUUAGUAUAGGCAAUGCAAUGGUGUAUAUUCUUUUUUGAAGACUUGAUGAACCAUUCGUCGUGGGUCCCACCCGCUGUGUAGGGAUACCCCAUCUAGUCUUAACGAGCUUUGAUCAUGAAAAAAAUUCUAAAACAAUGCUUGAACAAGUAAUUUUGGGUCCGUAAUAUAGCCCAAAUCCCAAAAUACCCGAAAAAGUACUUAAAGGUCAAAAUUUGGGAUCGACAAAAAGUCAAUGGAAAAGUUCGUUUGUCCUGCUUCUUUCGUCGGAGGGCUCUCUUUGGGCUUUCCGAAAAGGUAUCACAUGCCAAGUUUGGCCUCACGGUAUAAAAGUUAUAGAAUCAUAAAGUUUUAACCAAAAAAAACAAAUUAAAAAAAAAGAGGGAUGCAACACGAGGACUUCCCGGGAGGUCACCCAUCCUAGUACUACUCUCGCCCAAGCACGCUUAACUAAAGGUUAAAAUUUGGAGUCGACAAAAAAUCAAUGGAUAUGUUCCAUUGUCCUGCUUCUUUCAUCGGAGAGCUCUCUUUGGGCUUUCCGAAAAGGUAUCACAUGCCAAGUUUGGCCUCACUGUAUAAAAGUUAUAGAGUCAUAAAGUUUUAACCAAUGAAAAAAAUUAAAAAAAAAGAGGGAUGCAACACGAGGACUUCCCGGGAGGUCACCCAUCCUAGUACUACUCUCGCCCAAGCCCCCUUAACUGCGGAGUUCUGAUGGGAUCCGGUGUAUUAGUGUUGGUAUGAUCUUAUCUGUUAGUAUAUGCAAUGCAAUCGUAUAUAUUCUUUUUGGAAGAAUUGAUGAACCAUUCGCCGUGGGUCCCACCCGCUGUGUAGGGAUACCCCAACUAGUCUUAACGAGCUUUGAUGCAUGAAAAAAUUCUAAAACAAUGCUUGAACAAGUUAUUUUGGGUCCGUAAUCUAGCCCAAAUCACAAAAAUGCCCGAAAAAGUACUUAAAGGUCAAAAUUUGUGGUCGGCAAAAAGUCAAAGGAAAAGUUCGUUUGUCCUGUUUCUUUCGUCGGAGGGUUCUCUUUGGGAUUUCCGAAAAGGUAUCACAUGCCUAGUUUGGCCUCACGGUAUAAAAGUUAUAGAGUCAUAAAGUUUUAACCAAAAAAAACAAAUUAAAAAAAAAGAGGGAUGCAACACGAGGACUUCCCGGGAGGUCACCCAUCCUAGUACAAUAUUCGCCCAAGCACGCUUAACUGCGGAGUUCUGAUGGGAUCUCGUGUAUUAGUGCUGGUAUGAUCGCAUACGUUAGUAUAUGCAAUGCAAUCGUAUAUAUUCUUUUUUGAAGACUUGAUGAACCAUUCGUCGUGGGUCGCACCCGCUAUGUAGGAUACCCCAUCUAGUCUUAACGAGCUUUGAAGCAUGAAAAAAUUCUAAAACAAUGAUUGAACAAGUAAUUUUGUGUCCGUAAUAUAGCCCAAAUCACAAAUAUGCCCGAAAAAGUACUUAAAGGUCAAAAUUUGGGAUCGACAAAAAGUCAAUAAAAUUGUUCCAUUGUCCUGCUUCUUUCGUCGGAGGGCUCUCUUUACGCUUUCCGAAAAGAUAUCACAUGCCAAGUUUGGCCUCACGGUAUAAAAAUUAUAGAGUCAUAAAGUUUUAACCAAAAAAAACAAUUUAAAAAAAAAGAAGGAUGAAACACGAGGGCUUCCCGGGAGGUCACCCAUCCUAGUACUACUCUCGCCCAAGCACGCUUAACUAAAGGUCAAAAUUUAGAGUCGACAAAAAAUCAAUGGAUAUGUUCCAUUGUCCUGCUUCUUUCAUCAGAGGGCUCUCUUUGGGCUUUCCGAAAAGGUAUCACAUGCCAAGUUUGGCCUCACUGUUUAAAAGUUGUAGAGUCAUAAAGUUUUAACCAAUGAAAAAAAUUUUUAAAAAAAGAGGGAUGCAACACGAGGACUUCCCAGGAGGUCACCCAUCCUAAUACUACUCUCGCUCAAGCACACUUAACUGCGGAGUUCUGAUGGGAUCCGGUGUAUUAGUGCUGGUAUGAUCUCAUCUGUUAGUAUAUGCAAUGCAAUCGUAUAUAUUCUUUUUGAAAGAAUUGAUGAACCUUCGCCGUGGGUCCCACCCGCUGUAUAGGGACACCCCAUCUAGUCUUAACGAGCUUUGAUGCAUAAAAAAAUUCUAAAACAAUGCUUUAACAAGUAAUUUUGGGUCCGUAAUAUAGCCCAAAUCACAAAAAUGCGCGAAAAAGUAUUUAAAGGUCAAAAUUUGGGUUCGACAAAAAGUCAAUGGAAAAGUUCGUUUGUCGUGCUUCUUUCGUCGGAAGGCUCUCUUUGGGAUUUCCGAAAAGGUAGCACAUGCCUAGUUUGGCCUCACGGUAUAAAAGUUAUAGAGUUAUAAAGUUUUAACCAAAAAAAACAAAUUAAAAAAAAAGAGGGAUGCAACACGAGGACUUCCCGGGAGGUCUCCCAUCCUAAUACUACUCUCGCCCAAGCCCGCUUAACUGCGGAGUUCUGAUGGGAUCCGGUGUUUUAGUGCUGGUAUGAUCGCAUCCGUUAGUAUAUGCAAUGCAAUCUUAUAUAUUCUUUUUUGAAGACUUGAUGAACCAUUCUUCGUGGGUCCCACCCGCUGUGUAGGGAUACCCCAUCUAGUCUUAACGAGCUUUGCUGCAUUGAAAAAAUUCUAAAACAAUGCUUGAACAAGUAAUCUUUGGUCCGUAAUAUAUCCCAAAUCACAAAAAUACCCGAAAAAGUACUUAAAGGUCAAAAUUUGGGGUCGACAAAAAGUCAAUGGAAAAGUUCCUUUGUCCUGCUUCUUUCGUCGGAGGGCUCUCUUUGGGCUUUCCGAAAAGGUAUCACAUGUCAAGUUUGGCCUCACGGUAUAAAAGUUAUAGAGUCAUAAAGUUUUAACCAAAAAAAACAAAUUAAAAACAAAGAGGGAUACAACACGAGGACUUCUCGGGAGGUCACCCAUCCUAGUACUACUCUCGCCCAAGCACGCUUAACUAAAGGUCAAAAUUUGGAGUCGACAAAAAGUCAAUGGAUAUGUUCCAUUGUCCUGCUACUUUCAUCGUAGGGCUCUCUUUGAGCUUUUCGAAAAGGUAUCACAUGCCAAGUUUGGCCUGACGGUAUAAAAGUUAUAGAGUCAUAAAGUUUUAACCAAUAAAAAAAAUUAAAAAAAAAGUGUGAUGCAACACGAAGACUUCCCGGGAGGUCACCCAUCCUAGUACUACUCUCGCCCAAGCCCGCUUAACUGCGGAGUUCUGAUGGGAUCCGGUGUAUUAGUGCUGCUAUGAUCUUAUCUGUUAGUAUAUGCAAUGCAAUCGUAUAUAUUCUUUUUGGAAGAAUUGAUGAACCAUUCGCCGUGGGUCCCACCCGCUGUGUAGGGAUACCCCAUCUAGUCUUAACGAGCUUUGAUGCAUGAUAAAAUUCUAAAACAAUGCUUGAACAAGUAAUUUUGGAUCCGUAAUAUAGCCCAAAUCACAAAAAUACCCGAAAAAGUACUUAAAGGUCAAAAUUUGGGGUCGACAAAAAGUCAAUGAAAAAGUUCCUUUGUCCUGCUUCUUUCGUCGGAGGGCUCUCUUUGGGCUAUUCGAAAAGGUAUCACAUGCCAAGUUUGGCCUCACGGUAUAAAAGUUAUAGAGUCCUAAAGUUUUAACCAAAAAAAACAAAUUAAAAAAAAAGAGGGAUGCAACACGAGGACUUCCCGGGAGGUCACCCAUCCUAGUACUACUCUCGCCCAAGCACGCUUAACUAAAUGUCAAAAUUUGGAGUCGACAAAAAAUCAAUUGAUAUGUUCCAUUGUCCUGCUACUUUCAUCGGAGGGCUCUCUUUGGGCUUUCCGAAAAUGUAUCACAUGCCAAGUUUGGCCUCACUGUAUAAAAGUUAUACAGUCAUAAAGUUUUAACCAAAGAAAAAUAUUAAAAAAAAAGGGAUGCAACACGAGGACUUCCCUGAGGUCACCAAUCCUAGUACUACUCUCGCCCAAGCACGCUUAACUACGGAGUUUUGAUGGGAUCUGGUGUAUUAGUGCUGGUAUAAUCUCAUCCGUUAGUAUAGGCAAUGCAAUGGUGUAUAUUCUUUUUUGAAGACUUGAUGAACCAUUCGUCGUGGGUCCCACCCGCUGUGUAGGGAUACCCCAUCUAGUCUUAACGAGCUUUGAUCAUGAAAAAAAUUCUAAAACAAUGCUUGAACAAGUAAUUUUGGGUCCGUAAUAUAGCCCAAAUCACAAAAUACCCGAAAAAGUACUUAAAGGUCAAAAUUUGGGAUCGACAAAAAGUCAAUGGAAAAGUUCGUUUGUCCUGCUUCUUUCGUCGGAGGGCUCUUUUUGGGCUUUCCGAAAAGGUAUCACAUGCCAAGUUUGGCCUCACGGUAUAAAAGUUAUAGAAUCAUAAAGUUUUAACCAAAAAAAACAAAUUAAAAAAAAAGAGGGAUGCAACACGAGGACUUCCCGGGAGGUCACCCAUCCUAGUACUACUCUCGCCCAAGCACGCUUAACUAAAGGUUAAAAUUUGGAGUCGACAAAAAAUCAAUGGAUAUGUUCCAUUGUCCUGCUUCUUUCAUCGGAGAGCUCUCUUUGGGCUUUCCGAAAAGGUAUCACAUGCCAAGUUUGGCCUCACUGUAUAAAAGUUAUAGAGUCAUAAAGUUUUAACCAAUGAAAAAAAUUAAAAAAAAAGAGGGAUGCAACACGAGGACUUCCCGGGAGGUCACCCAUCCUAGUACUACUCUCGCCCAAGCCCCCUUAACUGCGGAGUUCUGAUGGGAUCCGGUGUAUUAGUGUUGGUAUGAUCUUAUCUGUUAGUAUAUGCAAUGCAAUCGUAUAUAUUCUUUUUGGAAGAAUUGAUGAACCAUUCGCCGUGGGUCCCACCCGCUGUGUAGGGAUACCCCAACUAGUCUUAACGAGCUUUGAUGCAUGAAAAAAUUCUAAAACAAUGCUUGAACAAGUUAUUUUGGGUCCGUAAUCUAGCCCAAAUCACAAAAAUGCCCGAAAAAGUACUUAAAGGUCAAAAUUUGUGGUCGGCAAAAAGUCAAAGGAAAAGUUCGUUUGUCCUGUUUCUUUCGUCGGAGGGUUCUCUUUGGGAUUUCCGAAAAGGUAUCACAUGCCUAGUUUGGCCUCACGGUAUAAAAGUUAUAGAGUCAUAAAGUUUUAACCAAAAAAAACAAAUUAAAAAAAAAGAGGGAUGCAACACGAGGACUUCCCGGGAGGUCACCCAUCCUAGUACAAUAUUCGCCCAAGCACGCUUAACUGCGGAGUUCUGAUGGGAUCUCGUGUAUUAGUGCUGGUAUGAUCGCAUACGUUAGUAUAUGCAAUGCAAUCGUAUAUAUUCUUUUUUGAAGACUUGAUGAACCAUUCGUCGUGGGUCGCACCCGCUAUGUAGGAUACCCCAUCUAGUCUUAACGAGCUUUGAAGCAUGAAAAAAUUCUAAAACAAUGAUUGAACAAGUAAUUUUGUGUCCGUAAUAUAGCCCAAAUCACAAAUAUGCCCGAAAAAGUACUUAAAGGUCAAAAUUUGGGAUCGACAAAAAGUCAAUAAAAUUGUUCCAUUGUCCUGCUUCUUUCGUCGGAGGGCUCUCUUUACGCUUUCCGAAAAGAUAUCACAUGCCAAGUUUGGCCUCACGGUAUAAAAAUUAUAGAGUCAUAAAGUUUUAACCAAAAAAAACAAUUUAAAAAAAAAGAAGGAUGAAACACGAGGACUUCCCGGGAGGUCACCCAUCCUAGUACUACUCUCGCCCAAGCACGCUUAACUAAAGGUCAAAAUUUAGAGUCGACAAAAAAUCAAUGGAUAUGUUCCAUUGUCCUGCUUCUUUCAUCAGAGGGCUCUCUUUGGGCUUUCCGAAAAGGUAUCACAUGCCAAGUUUGGCCUCACUGUUUAAAAGUUGUAGAGUCAUAAAGUUUUAACCAAUGAAAAAAAUUUUUAAAAAAAGAGGGAUGCAACACGAGGACUUCCCAGGAGGUCACCCAUCCUAAUACUACUCUCGCUCAAGCACACUUAACUGCGGAGUUCUGAUGGGAUCCGGUGUAUUAGUGCUGGUAUGAUCUCAUCUGUUAGUAUAUGCAAUGCAAUCGUAUAUAUUCUUUUUGAAAGAAUUGAUGAACCUUCGCCGUGGGUCCCACCCGCUGUAUAGGGACACCCCAUCUAGUCUUAACGAGCUUUGAUGCAUAAAAAAAUUCUAAAACAAUGCUUUAACAAGUAAUUUUGGGUCCGUAAUAUAGCCCAAAUCACAAAAAUGCGCGAAAAAGUAUUUAAAGGUCAAAAUUUGGGUUCGACAAAAAGUCAAUGGAAAAGUUCGUUUGUCGUGCUUCUUUCGUCGGAAGGCUCUCUUUGGGAUUUCCGAAAAGGUAGCACAUGCCUAGUUUGGCCUCACGGUAUAAAAGUUAUAGAGUUAUAAAGUUUUAACCAAAAAAAACAAAUUAAAAAAAAGAGGGAUGCAACACGAGGACUUCCCGGGAGGUCACCCAUCCUAGUACUACUCUCGCCCAAGCACGCUUAACGAAAGGUCAAAAUUUGGAGUCGACAAAAACUCAAUACAUAUGUUCCAUUGUCCUGCUUCUUUCAUCGGAGGGCUUUCUUUGGGCUUUCCGAAAAGGUAUCACAUGCCUAGUUUGGCCUCUCGGUAUAAAAGUUAUAGAGUCAUAAAGUUUUAACCAAAGAAAAAAAUUAAAAAAAAAGAGAGAUACAACACGAGGACUUCCCGGGAGGUCACCCAUCCUAGUACUACUCUCGCCCAAGCAUGCUUAACUGCGGAUUUCUGAUGGGAUCCGGUGUAUUAGUGCUGGUAUGAUCGCAUCCGUUAGUAUAUGCAAUGCAAUCGUAUAUAUUCUUUUUUGAAGACUUGAUGAACCAUUCGCCGUGGGUCGCACCCGCUAUGUAGGGAUACCCCAUCUAGUCUUAACGAGCUUUGAUGCAUGAUAAAAUUCUAAUACAAUGAUUGAACAAGUAAUUUUGGGUCCGUAAUAUAGCCCAAAUCACAAAUAUGACCGAAAAAGUACUUAAAGGUCAAAAUUUGGGAUCGACAAAAAGUCAAUGAAAUUGUUCCAUUGUCCUGCUUCUUUCGUCGGAGGGCUCUCUUUACGCUUUCCGAAAAGGUAUCACAUGCCAAGUUUGGCCUCACGGUAUAUAAGUUAUAGAGUCAUAAAGUUUUAACCAAAAAAAACAAAUUAAAAAAAAAGAAGGAUGCAACACGAGGACUUCCCGGGAGGUCACCCAUCCUAGUACUACUCUCGCCCAAGCACGCUUAACUAAAGGUCAAAAUUUGGAGUCGACAAAAAAUCAAUGGAUAAGUUCCAUUGUCCUGCUUCUUUCAUCGGAAGGCUCUCUUUGGGCUUUCCGAAAAGGUAUCACAUGCCAAGUUUGGCUUGACGGUAUAAAAGUUAUAUAGUCAUAAAGUUUUAACAAAAAAAAAACAAAUUAAAAAAAAAGAGGGAUGCAACACGAGGACUUCUCGGGAGGUCACCCAUCCUAGUACUACUCUCGCCCAAGCACGCUUAACUAAAGGUCAAAAUUUGGAGUCGACAAAAACUCAAUACAUAUGUUCCAUUGUCCUGCUUCUUUCAUCUGAGGGCUCUCUUUGGCUUUCCGAAAAGGUAUCACAUGCCAAGUUUGGCCUCACUAUAUAAAAGUUAUAGAGUCAUAAAGUUUUAACCAAUGAAACAAAUUAAAAAAAACAGAGAGAUGCAACACGAGGACUUCCCGGGAGGUCACCCAUCCUAGUACUACUCUCGCCCAAGCACGCUUAACUGCGGAGUUCUGAUGGGAUCCAGUGUAUUAGUGUUAGUAUGAUCGCAUCCGUUAGUAUAUGGAAUGCAAUCGUAUAUAUUCUUUUUUGAAGACCUGAUAAACCAUUCGCCGUGGGUCGCACCCGCUAUGUAGGGAUACCCCAUCUAGUCUUAACGAGCUUUGAAGCAUGCAAAAAUUCUAAAACAAUGCUUCAACAAGUAAUUUUGGGUCCGUAAUAUAGCCCAAAUCACAAAUAUGCCCGAAAAAGUACUUAAAGGUCAAAAUUUGGGAUCGACAAAAAGUCAAUGAAAUUGUUCCGUUGUCUUGCUUCUUUUGUCGGAAGGCUCUCUUUACGCUUUCCGAAAAGGUAUCACAUGCCAAGUUUGACCUCACGGUAUAAAAGUUAUAGAGUCAUAAAGUUUUAACCAAAAAAAACAAAUUAAAAAAAAAAGAAGGAUGCAACACGAGGACUUCCCGGGAGGUCACCCAUCCUAAUACUACUCUCGCCCAAGCACGCUUAACUAAAGGUCAAAAUUUGGAGUCGACAAAAAAUCAAUGGAUAAGUUCCAUUGUCCUGCUUCUUUCAUCGGAGGGCUCUCUUUGGGCUUUCCGAAAAGGUAUCAGAUGCCAAGUUUGGCCUGACGGUAUAAAAGUUAUAGAGUCAUAAAUUUUUAACAAAAAAAAAACAAAUUAAUAAAAAAGAGGGAUGCAACACGAGGACUUCCCGGGAGGUCACCCAUCCUAGUACUACUCUAGCCCAAGCACGCUUAACUAAAGGUCAAAAUUUGGAGUCGACAAAAACUCAAUACAUAUGUUCCAUUGUCCUGCUUCUUUCAUCCGAGGGCUCUCUUUGGGCUUUCCGAAAAAGGUAUCACAUGCCAAGUUUGGCCUCACUGUAUAAAAGUUAUAGAGUCAUAAAGUUUUAACCAAAGAAAAAAAUUAAAAAAAAAAGAGGGAUGCAAGACAAGGACUUCCCGGGAGGUCACCCAUCUUAGUACUACUCUCGCCCAAGCACGCUUAACUACGGUGUUCUGAUGGGAUCCGGUGUAUUAGUGCUGGUAUGAUCACAUCCGUUAGUAUAUGCAAUGCAAUCGUAUAUAUUCUUUUUGGAAGAAUUGAUGAACCAUUCGCCAUGGGCCCCAUCCGCUAUGUAGGGAUACCCCAUCUAGUCUUAACGAGCUUUGAUGCAUGAAAAAAUUCUAAAACAAUGCUUGAACAAGUAAUUUUUGGUCCGUAAUAUAGCCCAAAUCACAAAAAUACGCGAAAAGUACUUAAAGGUCAAAAUUUAGGGUCGACAAAAAGUCAAUGGAAAAGUUUGUUUGUCCUGCUUCUUUCGUCGGAGGGCUCUCUUUGGGCUUUCCGAAAAGGUAUCACAUGCCAAGUUUGGCCUCACGGUAUAAAAGUUAUAGAAUCAUAAAGUUUUAACCAAAAAAAACAAAUUAAAAAAAAACAGGGAUGCAACACGAGGAGUUCCCAGGAGGUCACCCAUCCUAGUACUACUCUCGCCCAAGCAUGCUUAACAAAAGGUUAAAAUUUAGAGUCGACAAAAAAUCAAUGGAUAUGUUCCAUUGUCCUGCUUCUUUCAUCGGAGGGCUCUCUUUGGGCUUUCCGAAAAUGUAUCACAUGCCAAGUUUGGCCUCACUGUAUAAAAGUUAUAGAGUCAUAAAGUUUUAACCAAAGAAAAAAAUUAAAAAAAAGAGGGAUGAGACACGAGGACUUCCCGGGAGGUCAUCCAUCUUAGUACUACUCUCGCCCAAGCACGCUUAACUGCGGAGUUCUGAUGGGAUCCGGUGUAUUAGUGCUGGUAUGAUCACAUCC